rnacentral:rRNA from 1 species
AUUGAACGCUGGCGGAAUGCUUUACACAUGCAAGUCGAACGGCAGCACGGGGGCAGCCCUGGUGGCGAGUGGCGGACGGGCGGGUAAUAUAUCGGAACGUGCGCGGCCGCGGGGGAUAACGUAGUGAAGGAUACGCUCAUACCGCAUAAGAUCUGAGGAUGAAAGGGGGGGAGCUUCGGACCUCGCGCGCUCGGACCGGUCGAUGUCAGAUUAGGUAGUUGGUGGGGUAAAGGCCUACCAAGCCGACGAUCUGUAGCUGGUCUGAGAGGACGACCAGCCACACUGGGACUGAGACACGGCCCAGACUCCUACGGGAGGCAGCAGUGGGGAAUAUUGGACAAUGGGCGCAAGCCUGAUCCAGCCAUUCCGCGUGGAGGACGAAGGCCUUCGGGUUGUAAACUGCUUUUGUACGGAACGAAAAGGCUCUGGCUAAUACCUGGGGCUCAUGACGGUACCGAAAGAAUAAGCACCGGCUAACUACGUG